rnacentral:rRNA from 1 species
UGUAAGCUGGUGCGUGCAGCGGCGGUAAUAGGAAUGGGUAGAUGGUUAAUCGGGAUUAUGUGGCUGAAAGCGUGAGUAGGCGUUUCCUUAAGGCUGCUGUGAAAUCCCCGGGCUCAACCUGGGAAUGGCAGUGGUUACUGGAGAGCUAGAGUGUGAUAGAGGAUGGUGGAAUUCCCGGUGUAGCGGUGAAAUGCGUAGAGAUCGGGAGGAACAUCAGUGGCGAAGGCGGCCAUCUGGAUCAACACUGACGCUGAGGCACGAAAGCGUGGGGAGCAAACAGGAUUAGAUACCCGUGUAGUC